ensembl:lncRNA
CACCGGCAUAAUUAAUUCCCUCCACCUUCUCUCUAGCACCUCCCACGUCUUCUCUUUUUAUAGCAGUUCUUUCUCUCGGAAAAUCUCAGGUUACUUGACUGGGAGUUCUCAGACCUCCAGUUUCAGCCCUGCCCUCAGCCUCCAGUCAGUGAGAGACACCCAGCCCCAGCAAAUGGAUUGGGCAGCCCGUCUUGACACACCACUGUGCUGAGUGCUUGAGGACGUGUUUCACCAGAUGGUUGGGGUUAGCGUGUGUCAUCACAUUUGAGUGGGGAUUAGGAGCAGGAAGGCUGCCUCGCCGGAGCUGUGUGGUCUUCUCCAAGCGAGAGUUGCAGGCAAGAGAACUACUUGCUUGGGGAAGAAGAGGAGGAAUUCGUUGUCUGCAGCCACAAGAAAAGCAGUUUUUUCAGGAGGAGGAAGGAAGCCCCGCUCCCACCUUAUCUCUGCUCCUCCGCAAGCUCUCAGUUCCCAGAGCUUGCUCUCCAGGGAAGAUUUUGAAGGCGACUUUUGUGCUGACAGCCAACCCCCAUCAUCUGAGGAAGGUGAAUUUGGCAAAUGACAUGCAGAUUCUCCAAGACAGAAUAAUUGCAGAAAAUCUUCAAAGGACCCCAUCUGCAGAUGUCCUGAAUACCUCUGAGUAUAGCAAUUGAUUAUUCAACCAGGAUACCUAAUUCAAGAGCUGCAGGAACCAGGAGACAGACAUUUUGUCCGUUUU